UACGUAGGGUGCGAGCGUUAAUCGGAAUUACUGGGCGUAAAGCGUGCGCAGGCGGUGAGCUGUGUCCGAUGUGAAAGCCCCGGGCUCAACCUGGGAAUGGCAUUGGAAACUGGCGAGCUUGAGUGUGGCAGAGGGGGGUGGAAUUCCGCGUGUAGCAGUGAAAUGCGUAGAGAUGCGGAGGAACACCGAUGGCGAAGGCAGCCCCCUGGGCUGACACUGACGCUCAGGCACGAAAGCGUGGGGAGCAAACAGG
rnacentral:rRNA from 1 species